rnacentral:rRNA from 1 species
UGGAGCUAAUCCCUUAAAGCUACUCUCAGUUCGGAUUGUAGGCUGAAACUCGCCUACAUGAAGCUGGAGUUACUAGUAAUCGCAGAUCAGAAUGCUGCGGUGAAUGCGUUCCCGGGUCUUGUACACACCGCCCGUCACACCACGGGAGUUGGAGACGCCCGAAGCCGAUUAUCUAACCUUUUGGAAGAAGUCGUCGAAGGUGGAA